UCUUCAUGCUUAAGUUCGAACACUAAUUCUUAUAAAUUAUGCACUUUGCAGUUUACUUCGGGAAGACUUAGUGAAACUGCUCUGAAGAAAACACUUGGGCAAUCAAUGACUGAUCAAUGAUCAGGAUGCUCACACACCUGUCUGCAUUGGACCUAUCUUGCUGUCACAAACAACAUUAACUCAAUGGUGUCCCUAGAGAAGAUAAUUACAUGCUGAUGUGUUUGCAUUGGGAAGUGCAAAGUUCAUUUGUAUAAUAAAAGAAUGUCAUACGUCAGUU